rnacentral:tRNA from 1 species
GAGCCAUUAGGGGUAUAAAAGGACACCGCCCUCUCACGGCGGGAACAGGGGUUCGAUUCCCCUUGGGCGUACCA